UACGUAGGUGGCAAGCGUUGUCCGGAAUUAUUGGGCGUAAAGCGCGCGCAGGCGGCCUUUUAAGUCUGAUGUGAAAGCCCACGGCUCAACCGUGGAAGGUCAUUGGAAACUGAAAGGCUUGAGUACAGAAGAGGAAAGCGGAAUUCCACGUGUAGCGGUGAAAUGCGUAGAGAUGUGGAGGAACACCAGUGGCGAAGGCGCUUUCUGGCUCAUUACUGACGUUCAGGUACGAAAGCGUGGGUAGCAAACAGG
rnacentral:rRNA from 1 species